UAUCAGUGAGCGCCUCGUCGCGAUGACACCCAGGAACACCCCUUCUGAGAUAAUAAUUAAUCGCACAAAUAUUUAUGAAGUUUAUAACUUGAUGUAGAAUGUCAGUAGAUGUAUGUUCUGCAGUAUGCCGACGUAUUUUAAAAAUAGUAUGUUUUCUAUGUAAUUUUCUAGUUUGAUAUUUUUUUACACCGGCCUUACCAAACACCGGGAUGAGGACUACGGACCCAGACGACACGGAACUAGAAGAGUCGGAGAACCUUCCGCACAAGUUUCUGGAGCAGGUUAUCCAUUACUUCCACCACGGCACCAAACACAACGGUAGUGUCGACCUGAGAGAGCCACAGCUGAGGUAUUCCUUCGUCUCCCUCUACCCUCUGUUUGUGCUCCUAUACUCCAUGAUAGUGACCGUCGGAACACUCUCCAACGGUGUCAUGAUCUACGUCAUAUUCCGCGACAGGCUGUACAAGGACCAGACGUUCUGCUACUUCAUCAACUUGGCCCUCAGCGACAUGGUCAAGUGCAUCUUCGUGCUGCCCAUCUCGCUCAUGGUCAUACUAAUCCACAACUGGAUCUUCGGGAGCUUUCUCUGCUAUUUCUUGCCCAUGAUGCAGGACAUACCAAUGCAUGUCUCGAUGCUCACCUAUCUUCUGAUCGCCUUCGACAGGUUUCGCUACCUGCAGGACCCCACCAAGGCCAGGAUACCCGCCUUCGUCAUGGCUACAGGCUCCUGGCUGAUGGCCCUGUGUAUCGUGCUGCCUUAUCCUAUAUACACCACCUACGUCGACCUCGGGACAUUUGGGAAGGAGUAUCUGGAGGGUGUGGGUAUCUGCGCGGUCAACCUGGCCGACGAUAUGCAAGAGUAUGUACGGGGGCUCUUCUUUGCCAUGUACGUGCUACCACUGACGACUAUCGCAUACCUCUACGUGCGGAUGUCACGUGAAAUUGAAGUAAAAGAGGGUCCACUGGCAGUGAUUAUGUACGAGGCUCGGUCCCGGACCAACUCCAACGGCAGCCCAAGGAGUGUCAGCCAGGGACAAGCUCACUUUAGGUACAGGUCCCCGACUGCUAACUUUGACCUAUACGAAAACGAGUUGGAUAUUAAAAAGGAGAAGAAAGUCCAACAAUAUCUUAUCACGAUGGUGACGGUGUUUGGCAUCUGCCUUUGCCCUCUCAUGGUUCUUAGAUUAGCAAAGAUGGCCGUGGCGGAGACGUACGAGAACACCGGCCACUUUGACCUGACGUACGUGACGUUCGUGUGGGUGGCCUUCCUCCCAACCUGCACAACUCCGCUCCUGUUCAUCUAUUGGCGAAUGACUAAGUCGACCAAGGAGCGGUUGCGGGGAUACCUGAGACUGAGCAACCGCCACUUGCGACGUAACUGCGAGUCUCCUCCAGAUCACCGACGUGGUGACGUCAUGACUCGCCUGGGGAUGGACUCUGGCCGCAACAGCGAGGGAACCCUCAGUACGACGCCGGUUAUCAACAACUCCUGAUCACCGCUACUGGCCCGCAGCAUUAGGGCCACCUGAACCGCUUAACAGACAACGCUGGACUGCGAGGCACGAGAGUGUGUGGAAGAGAGCACUGGCUGGUCCCAUGACCGCCUGAGCCCGAGCAUGGGACCACCCUGAGGAAUGACCUGAAUAGACAUUGUCAAUCAAACCGGUUCGAUACUGUCUAUAAAAAAACAAAGUGUUUAAUAGUGAUGUCUCAAGCUCAACAUGAUGUUUAUGUAUUUUUAUAUGUAAUUUAUAUUAGCUACGCAUAAAAUGUGUUUAUUGUUGCAUAAGUGGUUUACCACUGUUUUUACAAAGUAGAACUAUCAUUAUUGUUGAUGAAGUAUGUGCUACAAGAACCAA